rnacentral:rRNA from 1 species
AGAGGAAUAUUGGUCAAUGGGCGAGAGCCUGAACCAGCCAAGUCGCGUGAAGGAAGACAGUCCUAAGGAUUGUAAACUUCUUUUAAACGGGAAUAACGGGCGAUACGCGUAUCGCAUUGAAUGUACCGCCAGCAUAAGCAUCGGCUAACGCCGUGCCAGGAGCCGCGGUAAUACGGAGGAUGCGAGCGUUAUCCGGAUUUAUUGGGUUUAAAGGGUGCGUAGGUUGUUCGGUAAGUCAGCGCUGAAACCUGAGCGCUCAACGUUCAGCCUGCCGUUGAUACUGCCGGGCUUGAGUUCAGUGGCGGCAGUCGGAAGUCGUGGUGUAGCGGUGAAAUGCAUAGAUAUCACGAGUAACUCCGAUUGCGUAGGCAGCGUGCCAUUCUGCGACUGACACUGAAGCACGAAGGCGUGGGUAUCAAACAGG